GGGGAUUUAGCUCAGUGGUAGAGUGCUUGCCUAGCAAGCGCAAGGUCCUGGGUUCGGUUCCCAGCUCCG
rnacentral:tRNA from 1 species